GCUCGGAUGGUGAAACUGGUAGACGCGAGGGACUUAAAAUCCCUUUACAGCAAUGUAGUGUGGGUUCAAGUCCCACUCUGAGCACCA
rnacentral:tRNA from 1 species